GGUGGCAGGCCCACCGAAAUCUGCUGUCGGAAGCCUGUUUCAAACCACCUCAAGCUACUGUAGUUAAGAGCUAUGGGAGUAAGCGUUGAGGUCAAAGCGCGAACAUACGUUCGGCAGGU
rfam:Pseudoalteromonas rubra strain S2471 contig0096, whole genome shotgun sequence.